rnacentral:tRNA from 1 species
GUGAACGUAGCUCAGUUCGGUAGAGCACUGGAUUGUGGCUCCAGCGGUCGCGGGUUCAAAUCCCGUCGUUCACC